rnacentral:rRNA from 1 species
AUUGAACGCUGGCGGCAUGCCUUACACAUGCAAGUCGAACGGCAGCGGACCUUCGGGUGCCGGCGAGUGGCGAACGGGUGAGUAAUAUAUCGGAACGUACCUUUCAGUGGGGGAUAACGUAGCGAAAGUUACGCUAAUACCGCAUAUUCUGUGAGCAGGAAAGCAGGGGAUCGCAAGACCUUGCGCUGAUUGAGCGGCCGAUAUCAGAUUAGCUAGUUGGUGAGGUAAAGGCUCACCAAGGCGACGAUCUGUAGCGGGUCUGAGAGGAUGAUCCGCCACACUGGAACUGAGACACGGUCCAGACUCCUACGGGAGGCAGCAGUGGGGGAAUUUUGGACAAUGGGCGGCAAGCCUGAUCCAGCCAUGCCGCGUGAGUGAAGAAGGCCUCGGUUGUAAGUACGUACUU